rnacentral:ribozyme from 2 species
AUUAUAACUCCGCCUGUAACCACUUCGGGGGUCACUGCCGGUCCCAAGCCCGGAUAAAGGAGGAGAGCUGGG